GUGACUCGGGCUCCUCAGCAGCCCACGUCCUCCUCACCAUCUCCCAGAACAGAGGCCCACGGAGUACCGCUCGCAGUUGAGGUAGGCCCGCACCGUGUAGAAGGCCUUGUGGAACUGCCUCUCGAUGUCCGUCAGCUCCUCAAACACCUUGUUGGCCGACCACAGCAGCACCUGGAGGGAGGGGCACACCUGUGGGCCUGUGGCCACUCCCACCCUCACGCCGGUCUGACCACAGCAGCAGGGGUUUAACUCAAGCCUGACACAGGUGCGCUCCCUGAUCUGACCACCUGCCCAGCCGUGGAGCCUGGCACAGACCCUGAUUGGUGGCUCCGUGGCCAGGUUUCAUCUGAGCUUGUGGGGCCCGGGAGCUGGCUGGCGGUGAGGCCUCGAGGCUGCGGUCGUGUCCCUGAUCACUCAGGAGUGGACGAGUGGAAAGUGGAAUCUGUCGCUUUGAGCUUGACAGGCAAACAUCCGACCAGCCCUUCCUCCGCCCGGCUGCUCCAGAACCACCUGCGGCGAGCAGGGCUUUGAGAACAUCGGGCCGUGGUUUCCGCACGUCAGGCCGCCUGUGGCCUCCGCCAAGCGUCUGAGAGUGAAGCAUUGCUGACGCACUCCACGAGGUCCUGGCCAGACCCCACUCAGGACAUCCCGCUGCACAGGCCCCUGGUUGCUGGGUCAGCGCUGCCACCAGGCUCAGACUCACCCCAGGGCCCUCCUUGGGCCACCUUUCUCUGCCUCCUUGGUCAAGGCCCAGACCCAGGCCCCACCAGGCCCUGCCUCCUCACACUCGCGGCGGCCGCUGGGUCUUCUACCGCAUGGUGCCAGCUCCCUCUCCUCCGCUGCGGUGUCCUAGCCCAGCUCUCUCCCUGCCAGGCCCUCUG
rnacentral:lncRNA from 1 species